AACGCAUAUUGCGCCUUCCGGUAUUCCGGGAGGCAUGCCUGUUUGAGCGUCAGUUUGUACUCAACAUCAGUGGAGCCUUUAUUGGACUUUGCUAAUGGUGGUAUUGAGUGUUAUGGGCACACGAUUCGUUGUGUACCCUCACUUGAAAUUGAUUGCCAUUUUUGAUGACAUAAGUGGAUGGUUAGUGUAUUAGGUUUAUCCAAUUCCGCUAGCUUUCACAACGUUUAUGACUUCCAAAUCGGCUUUUCAACCAAGUCAUUGCUACCAGCAAUGCCUUUUCUACGUUGACCUCAAAUCAGGUAAGGAUACCCGCUGAACUUAA
rnacentral:misc_RNA from 1 species